CCUGCGUCACUGCCACAGACAACCACUGAAACCACUGUUCCAUCUACAAGUUCAGAGGCAACUACAACACAUCAAGCUCCACAUCAGUUCCCACCUCAACGACAAUAGAAACAACUACAGGCAGCACAAGUA